UCUGUUUUCUACCUAUUCACUUUCAUAUCCCCAAUCAUAAACUACUUUACAUUUGUUCUUACUAAUAUCCAUAAACUUUUGAGUUUUAAACUUUCCAUGAAUGACAUAAUGUCGAAUUCUCAGGAAUUAGGAACACAGAACAGCAAUUCAGAGGAUGAGCUGUUACCCUUUUUCUCUUCACCAACUAUGAAGAAAUUGCUGGAGGUGAUGGUUAUCCAGACCUUUGACCGCGUUUUAAAGCCAACGUUGGAGAAUUUGAUUCGUAAUGUUGUAAAACACGAACUUGAACUGGCAGAGAAGAAGUUUUUGACUGCCAAGGGAAACACUGAAAAAGGUAUUCAAGCUCCCAAACCAAGAAGCUUGAGGUUAAAGUUCUUGACAAAGGUAUCCGACCCUGUACUUACCGGAGUGGAAAUCAAAGAAGAAGGAGGUAAUGCUAUUGAAGUGGCUUUAGUUGAUGAUAAUACUGGAGAAAUUGUUGAAUCUGGAUCAGAAGCAUCAGCUAAAGUAGAGAUAGUUGUACUUAGGGGAGAAUUUGGAGAUGAUGAUGGAGGUAAUUGGACAGCUGAAGAGUUCUGUAGAAAUAUUGUCAGCGAGAGGAAAGGAAAUAAGUCUCUUCUUGCAGAAACUGUACAUGUGAGACUCAAUAAAGGCGUUGGUUCUAUAGAUCAGCUAAGAUUUACACAUUCUUCAAUCUAUAUGAGAACGGGUAUGUUCAGGCUAGGUGCAAGAAUUGUUGACACUUUCAAUAAUGUUCAAGUAAAAGAAGCAAGGACUGAAUCUUUCACGGUCAAGGAUGGGCGCCAGCAAUAUUAUGAGAAGCAUGAUCCACCAUCUCUAUCCGAUGGGGUACAUCGGUUAAUAAACGUAGGCAGAGGCAGUAAGAAGAACCUCCGGGUUGAAAAUGUCAACACAGUGGAGGACUUUCUGAUUUUGCUCCUCAAAGACCAUGACCGACUCAAAUGUGUACUUAAUCUAAAGCCAAGACAAUUGGAGGAGACAUUAAGCCAUGCUCGAAGAUGCAUAAUCAAUGAACGGAUGUACUCUUUUAUUGACUUUCAAGAAAAGGAAGGUGUGGUUUUUAACAUUGUUGGAGAGGUGCUAGGGCUUAUUCUGGAGUUCCAUUAUCUACCUAUGCAUCUGUUAUCUGAAAGUGAUAAGGCUAAGGCUCAGAGGCUGCUAGUAUCUGCAUGUGAACAUUGGGAUCUUGUGGUACCGGUUGAUGAUGAGACAUCUCUUGUGCAAUAUCUUUCUCAAAUAUUGCCAAACCCUUUGAAUUCUCCAAGUCGAGAGGUUCCUAGCACCAAUAACGCCGUUGAGAAUUUAAGAAUAAGUGAUGGACGUUGUCAUACCUCCAGAGUUGCAAGUGCAGUCAGUCCGAAUGGUUGUGGUUCCACCAGUAUCAGUAACCUAGAUUUCUCCAACUUCCCAAUAUAUAGUCCUUCAUUCCAAGAUAUUUUGAUUAAUGAAUUCAACUUCGGGUGUGAAGACUUUGUUUCUGAAUCCGAUGCUCAUCAACCUCAUGAUUCUUCUGCAUCUAUGCUAAAAGCGCAGAGGCGGUGGAGAUUGUUGUUCGGUGUCUUAAAAUUUCUCUGUGCAAAAAGAAGAGCUGCAGCAUUAGAUAUUCAAGUUCUGAAGAAGCGGAAAGUCAUUUGAUUCUGUGGCUUUAGCCUGUUACUAAAGAGUUUGACAGCAGGUGGAGCUCGAAGAGCCAGUCAAGAAAGGAAAACUAAAGUCGCGUGGGGAAGUACUAAUUGACUUGUUGAGAAAAUAGUCAACAAAUUACUGGAGAUUUGGACUAGAUGCAUUGAAUAGAACUGCAACAAAAAGAAAUGUAGAGACAACACAGGUAUGAUUCUUUUUUAUGCUUAUCGAAGAAAAAUAACUUGUUGCUCUAGUAAUAUGGAAAGAGUUUGUCAAAAACAAUAUGGAAAGAGUUUAAGCUAUAAACACCAUCAGUAUAAAGAAUUCUUUAUACUAUCAGGUCAUUCAAUGGAUAUCUGCAGGUAAAGCCUUCUUAAAAUGUUAUCUUAAAAAUAAGACAAGUUACCUGCUACAACACGUAAAGGUGACCUGGAAAUUACUCGAUGCUAGUGUAUGCCUCUCUCUCUCUCUCAAUAAUUUGUGUAGUAUCUAUGCUGGUUUUCUUAUUUUUCAAGCUAGAUACAAGGAAAAUGAAUUUUCAUUGAGCACCUCCUUUAAGGUUACUAGUUUUUAUCUGUCUCUCCGUUUCUUAUGUCCUCAACUAGCACUACUUAAAGUUCUUUCCAAUGCCACUCUUAACACUUACAAACUGCUUCUAUGCCUUCUCAAGUGAUGUUCUCAUCACUCAUGUUGGCUGAAUUAUCUAACUUAGAGAAAUCAUACAUGUUGCCUUAUUUCAUUAUUUUUCCUCAUAGAAGUCCUCUGAAUCCUGACAACAUAGAAAAUUAUUGAUCGCGGUUAGUUAUCUCAUCAGAAAUGAUUUGCUGUACAACUGCACCUGGUUAUUUUAUGAGCUUUCAUUAUGACCAUUUCACAUGAGGUGUAAAAUAUAAGCAUUACCACAAAAAAUUGAAUUAAGUGGAGGAGAAGUUUUAGAUUGUCAAUAUUACAUGUUUUGUCUUUCAGCUUUCUGAAACAUGGAACUCUGCAUGACUACUGAUAGAUCUCAUUCUAAUGCCAUGAUGAAUACUGCAGAGAUGAAUUGCUUUUGGGAUUCACCUAUUAGCAGAACACAUGCCAUGACGAGGUUCCAAAUAUUAAUGGAUCUGAAGCCAAUACAUGAGGCAACCUGCAUAUCAAUUGAAAGGCUGAGAAAGGUACUCGUGUAAUAAAUACAUUCACUGGCAGGAACAAAAAAAGUGCGUUCUUUGUGAUUAUGCGUUUAGUUGAAAUCCUUUAAAUGGUAUGAACAGCAAUAACUAAGAACUUAGCUUAAAGGAAAUGAUGACCAUAUAGGGACACCAUAGUCUUU